GUAGCCAACUGUGUUUCGUCGAAGUUGUUUCGCCGCGCGGCGAUCCGCUCCAGUUUCCUUCGGACGGGCGGCGGGAGACAGCGGCCAGCUGCGUCCCAACUGCGGCGGGAUUGUCACCGAGAAAGGGCGACGCCCGGGGCUGCAGUGAAGGAGCUGAGCGCUACGCUGCAUCGUCUCGCACGGGAAGAGACGGGUGACGUCAUCGGCAGCAGAAACGGCUGCAACGUAACCUUCGCAACGGACGCCCGGAAUACGAUAUUAAGAAUCACCUGUGUAGCUGAUGGCAGCUUGUGGAACAGUCGACUGACCGUAUAGACUUUCAAACCAAGCCCAUAAUUCCUGAAAAUAUAGUGGUGUCAUAUAUAACAUACUCUAGUCUCAAGCAAGCUACAAGCUAUUAUUUCAUUGGUAGGAUGAGUAGCUAGUUUGUGCAAUGGAUGUAACUGAAGAUUCUACCCAUGUGUUUGUGAAUUUAGUUAUGAGUAUACCUGCCUGUCAAAGUACAUCCUGAUUUGUUCCAGGAAAACUUAGCACUAAUCAAAUAUUUUAGUUCCAAGGCAGUAUGUUAAUCAAAAUAAUUUUGUUUUAUAAUCACGUAGGUGCACUCAUUAAAAUCAGUUCACCGUAUUAUGUCUAAAUACAUAACAAAAAAUAAUAGGCCGCAUUCUUUUCUGAACAGGCCUUGGACAUAAUGUUUCCUCACUAAGCAGAUGCUGUCAACAUUUCUGAGUUAUAAAACAAUGAAGAUGUUAAAUCAUAUGCAUUUCAAUUCUAAUACGGUUAAAGAAGCAUAAACUUAAUGUUUUUUUUAUUAACACAAAAUAUAAUUUGACAUGUGUACAUGAUUCAAGACUCUUGUUUACUGUGUGUGCACGUGUGCCAUGAACUGCUAACACAUGACUUGCCACUAGAUCAUCCUGGUAGGUAGAGAGAAACUAGUUCUGAAAUAUUCUGGCUUUUCUGACAGGAGCUGGUGCUGACUGGUAGGAUGGCAUAAUAUAAACAUUGGCUGAGGAAUUUCUGCAUAAUAUAAAUCACUGUAUGAACUGUAAUGUUAAUAAGGCUAAAGUAAAUUGUAUGUACAUAUGUAGUCAAUGGGAAGCGAAUAGCUGUUACGGAAAGGGUAAAUGGUUUGUUGAUUUGUUGCGUAGUAUUUAAUGCUACACAAGUGCCAUUGCCGUUCAGAGUGCAUGAAAACGAAAAUUAAAGGAAAAAAGAGCGGAACUCCGAAUUUAUGACUGCUCUCAAGUUAUGCCGUGAUAUAAUGGUGUUAACCCAAAACCACCGGGUCGCAGUGUUACUUCGCUAGGAGGGCGUACACACGAAAGUUGCGAUGCCAGGGAAUGUAACCGAUAUGAUGAUGCAUGUGACAAGCUAAAGCAUGUAGUAAUGUUUUGUUGUGACCGUAAUUGUUAACGCUCUACGUUCCUUCUGCAAGGAUUGCUAAGGUAUGACAAACUAGGCAUGAAUCAGGCAUUUCUGAACAAAACCUUCAAUAGUUAAUCAAAUGCAGCAAUAUUUUAUUUUUUCCUCGAGUUGUAAUGUACUCUGUGUGUUUCUUACAGGACAUGUGUAUUUCUACAUGAUUGUGAAACUUUAAUAAUAGCCACAAACAAGUCAAAACUUUACUGAACUUAAUCAAAAUUGCACAAUACAACCACCCCUCGAAAUAACACAGUUCGAUUUGCGCAGUUAUAAAGUAACAAUGCCAAUGAAUUAUGGCAUGAUUCGAAGUAGCACGGUUAUAGAUUUGAAGUAGCAUUUUUUUCCUGUACAUUAAUUUUUAUUUCAGUGUGUGCAGAAUGGCAAUGGCACUUGUGUAGCAUUUAAUACAGUGCAAUGAAUAAAUAAUGUGACAAAUCACCAACAGUAUUUUGCUCUUUAAAUUGCUAUUUGCUUCCUUCAUUGUGUAUAUAUCUCCAACACCUGAGUGUUCAGCCCAUGUUUGUAUUACUCCAUCGCACAUGUUAGCAGCAGUUAUAGAGAGUAAAGCUAGAGGCUUUGCAGGCAUAGUUCUACUAUGCACUUGUGUGAAAUCAUGGCACACACAUUUAGUAAAAGACAGUGUUGGGAAUUAUGUUAACAGGUUAAAUAAGUUCCUAAUAAUAGAAAACUAAUUGUUUUUUUUAAAUAUUAGAACUGACAACAUAUAUUCUAUAUUAAUAACACUAUUUUACUCACAAAUUUUGUUAGCAUCUCUUUACGAAUGCUAUGCCUAAGUCCUAUUAUGUAAACAAUUUGAUUUCUUAAAUUUAAUUUUUGGUGGUUUCAUAUUAAAAUGAUCAAUAUUAAUUAAAACAAACUUAUAGUAUUUAUACAGAUUUAAUGGGCACAGUAUCUUCAUUAAAUUGGUCAUCAGCAAUGAAACUUACCUGACUGGGAAACAAAUUAUUUUGAUCAACAUACACAUUUAUGGAAAUAAAUAUUUGGUUAGUGCUGUUUUCUUGGAAAGAAUAUGGUUGUUACUUUGAUGGGCGUCAACAGAACUUUGUAUUUUAGAGGAAUAAAAUGUUUCAAAGAGAA